UUGGGGUUUUGGAGGUGUUUUGGGGCUGUUUUUGCAAGUGUUUUGAGGUAAAUUGUCUGUUUUUGGGUGUUUAAUGGUGUUUUGGGAGUGUUUUGCAAGUUUUUGAGGUAAAUAGUGUGUUUUGGGGUGUUUAAUGGUGUUUUGAGAGUGUUUUGAGGUAAAUUGUCUGUUUUUGGGUGUUUAAUGGUGUUUUGGGAGUGUUUUGCAAGUUUUUGAGGUAAAUAGUGUGUUUUGGGGUGUUUAAUGGUGUUUUGGGAGUGUUUUGCAAGUGUUUUGAGGUAAAUAGUGUGUUUUGGGGUGUUUAAUGGUGUUUUGAGAGUGUUUUGCAAGUGUUUUGAGGUAAAUAGUGUGUUUUGGGGUGUUUAAUUUUGUUUUGGGAGUGUUUUGCAAGUGUUUUGAGGUAAAUAGUGUGUUUUGGGGUGUUUAAUGGUGUUUUGAGAGUGUUUUGCAAGUGUUUUGAGGUAAAUAGUUUGUUUUGGGGUGUUUAAUGGUGUUUUGGUGGUGUUUCAGGGUUAUAUAGGGGUGUUUGGGGGUGAUCUAGGGUAAGUAGUGUUAUCAAGGCUGUAGUGGAAGUUACUGUGGGUUUUCAAAGGGUGUUUCCAUGGUGAUUCACUUGUAUUUUAUCCCUUGUACAGUAAAACUCCCUUUCCCUGAGUUGGCAACACUGUUUGUUUACGUUCGCUGUUGUCUCGUCGUGUGUGAAUCAGAUUUGUGUCUUGUUCUUCCACCGCAGGGCAGAAGGAGGAGGGACAUCGGUGCCAGUUUGACCGAGGCUUGGGAGGUGAUCAAUCCUAGGGCUCUGUUCUCCGUCAGCUGUGUCAAGGGCCUGGGCAGAGAAGCCUGGAGUUAACGCUGAUCUUCGCGACCCACCACAAGCAUAGUUACGACUCGUUGGCGCAGGACCGCAAGUUUUCCCUCCUGGGCCUGGUCAUGGCAAUUACACAGAGAGGGUUUAUGCGAAGUGUUAAGACUGGAACUGAAAAAGCAACUGCCAAUUAGGGCCUAAUGAUGAUGAUUCCUGCUUUCAUCCUCAUCGGGGCUAACGAGACCAACCUGGGGCUGUACUCUGGACUGACGCUGUAUGCCAUAGAGACCGGCGUGCCCUUGUGUCUUCCCUGCGGCUGUUGUCCCUGGUCCACGGUCUGAACUUCCAAGCCGGACUGCC